rnacentral:rRNA from 1 species
AAUUCGAAGCAACGCGAAGAACUUACCAGGCCUUGACAUGCAGAGAACUUUCCAGAGAUGGAUUGGUGCCUUCGGGAACUCUGACACAGGUGCUGCAUGGCUGUCGUCAGUCUCGUGUCGUGAGAUGUUGGGUUAAGUCCGUAACGAGCGCAACCCUUGUCCUUAGUUACCAGCACGUUAUGGUGGGCACUCUAAGGAGACUGCCGGUGACAAACCGGAGGAAGGUGGGGAUGACGUCAAGUCAUCAUGGCCCUUACGGCCUGGGCUACACACGUGCUACAAUGGUCGGUACAAAGGGUUGCCAAGCCGCGAGGUGGAGCUAAUCCCAUAAAACCGAUCGUAGUCCGGAUCGCAGUCUGCAACUCGACUGCGUGAAGUCGGAAUCGCUAGUAAUCGUGAAUCAGAAUGUCACGGUGAAUACGUUCCCGGGCCUU